AACUCAUGGUGAGGGCAUGAACGAAUCAUCUCCUUGAACCGCUCCCAAGCUUCCGUAAGUGUCUCAUAGUUCUCUUGCUCAAAUGAGGAGAUCUUCCUCCUUAUGUA
rfam:Beta vulgaris subsp. vulgaris Bvchr4_un.sca015.con0006.1, whole genome shotgun sequence.